AGCAUUUGGGUGUGCGGGGGAUUACCGAAUGGCUGCUCUCUUCUCCCUGACCUGCGUCGUCUCCCCCAAACCCUCGCUUCCGGUCCCCGUUCGGAGCUCGAACGCCCGAUGGCGGUGGGAGUCGGUUGCUUCGAGAGUUGUGUUGCAGCCUGAGACGCGGAGAUCGAGAGUUGUCGCUCUGGUUUCCCAGGCUUCCCGGGUCGUCUUCCGUGACCUCGACGCCGAUGAUUUCAGGCACCCCCUCGAUAAGCAGAAUACUCUGCUACUGAGGACAAUUCCUGGGUUGAAUGAACUUGGCAAGGCGUUGUUAGGACCAAUGACAGAGCAAGUAAUGCUUCUUGAGAACAUAGGAACAUCAGUACUAGUUUCUGAAAAUCAGCUCCCCGAUCUUCAUAAAUUGAUGAUUGAGGCGGCAAAAGUACUAGACACUGAAGCUCCUGAUCUUUAUGUCCGCCAGAAUCCUGUUCCAAAUGCAUACACCUUGGCAAUUAGUGGUAGGAAACCAUUUAUAGUUGUUCACACUAGCCUUGUGGAGCUUCUUACUAGAAGAGAACUACAGGCCGUUUUGGCUCAUGAGUUGGGCCACUUAAAAUGUGACCAUGGGGUGUGGCUUACAUUUGCAAACAUAAUUACGCUUGGAGCUUACUCUGUACCUGGCCUUGGUGGGUUGAUUGCCCAGAGUUUGGAAGAACAGCUUUGUAGGUGGCUUCGAGCUGCUGAGCUAACUUGCGAUAGGGCGGCUCUCCUUGUUGCACAAGAUCCAAAGGUGGUCAUCUCUGUUUUGAUGAAACUGGCUGGAGGGUGUCCAUCUCUUUCUGACCAGCUAAAUGUAGAUGCAUUCUUGGAGCAAGCUCGCUCAUAUGACAAGGCUUCUUCCAACCCCAUUGGUUGGUACAUCAGGAAUGCUCAAACGAGGCAGUUAUCCCACCCCUUGCCUGUUCUACGUGCCCGUGAAAUUGACGAGUGGUCAAGGGGUCAGGAAUACAAAUAUCUACUGAAGCAUGCUAUCCAACUGGAAGAUUCUCUAAAGCCUAGAAAUACCUAUGUGCGGUGAAGAUUGCGAUGAUGUUUUAAAUGCUUAAUGUUGAAAUUAAACCAGAAGGACUAGAUCCUUGUUUCUAUCCAUAGAACCAUACUUCUCUCGGUGAAUGUUUGUCUUCAUGACUACAGGAUAGACCUAUCAAAAUGGGCAACGACUGUAGGUGAAGGGAUUGUGGCAGAUAUUGCACACCGGGAUUCCUCGGGAGAAUCUGGAGGCAGAUAUCUCAUAUGUCUCAAUGAAGGAAUUGAUUGGAAGACAGAAGCUAGCAAGCCUUACUCAAGAUGAUAAGGAUAACAGAUAAAACCAGGGGAAGAAAUUUAGAGAGUUGAAAGAAGCUAAGCCUCUGAAAGUGACCAGUGCCUGCUUGUUCACCUCACUAGACAACAACAGUAAUAAUCUCUUUGCAUUUGAUCUUUCUAUUUCAAUCAAUUUCUAUUGAUAUGAAUCCAAUUGAAAAGGAUAGGACCCUCACCCCAACAAUAUAAUCCCAUAAUCUAUUAGAUUUCUUCCUUCCUUGUGGGUUCAUGAGAUGACUCCAGUAGCCCCUUCGAUGUAAUCCAUAGAACACAUACAUGGUUGUGGUUGUGAAUGACCAAGUCAGCUCUUGUGAUGUGAGGGGGAGGCAUCAGUAGUCUUUGUUUUAACAUGACAAUUAACCCUCUUGCAAGUGGUGAUUUGACAUGAAGAAAGAUGGCAAGAUUUGCCUAACCUGCAUGUAGAAAUUAUGAACAAAAUCUGGUUAUUAUAUAACUUGUCCUCUUAAUUUGA